rnacentral:rRNA from 1 species
UACGGAGGGGCGAGUGUUGUUCGGAAUUAUUGGGCGUAAAGAGCUCGUAGGCGGUUUGUCGCGUCUGCCGUGAAAGUCCGGGGCUCAACUCCGGAUCUGCGGUGGGUACGGGCAGACUAGAGUGAUGUAGGGGAGACUGGAAUUCCUGGUGGUAGCGGUGAAAUGCGCAGAUAUCAGGAGGAACACCGGUGGCGAAGGCGGGUCUCUGGGCCGAUACCUGACGCUGAGGAGCGAAAGCGUGGGGAGCGAACAGG